AGGACUCUAAAAAGAAUGCUUAAGUAAAAUGGAUCCCCUGUACUUCAUUUUUCAUUUCCAGAAAACAAUCAACUCAACAACUACCAAGCAAAUACAUGUGAUGUGUCCAGGCGUGUCCCAAUAACUAUAUGGUAGAAGAAAUAAAAAUGAAGUAGGAACAUUCCACAGCGGAUCAGGAACCUAAGAGAUGAAGAAAUGGAAUCUCAGGGAUGUUGACAGUACAACUGUUCUCAGAAGAACUGUGCCUUUCGAUUUCCAACAUGACAUCUUUUGUUGGAGUUGUUUUCUAAAACAAAGGCUCAUGAAAAUCAGAGGAUACGUUGAAUAUUCAUUCAGGAACAACAGAAAUAGACCCCAACUUCUCCAUUAAAAUUGAACUCAAAUUAGCUUUAGACCUUGUUUUGCAUUCUUGUAUCACCACUUCUCGCAAAAAAGGUCAUAU